rnacentral:lncRNA from 1 species
GACAAAAGUCAAUAAUUUUCUUCAGUUUUACCGGUUUAAGGAACUUAAGACAACAUUAAAACAUGAGGGAAAAUACAAAAACUAUGACCUCUUGUGUUUUAGAAAUUGAAAUUUAAGUUAAGUUAAGUUAUUUAAUAUUAAGUUAAGUUAUUUAAUAUUAUAUAAAUCAACCGUCGUUGCACGGGAUUCGAACCGUUGCCCGAUCUGAUUGCAUUGAUAUCAGCAUCGUAAGCGAGAGCCUUAUCCCCACUGCUACCGGGGUUAGCAUUAUCA